rnacentral:lncRNA from 1 species
GAGCAAGGCUAGGUAAGCAAUCAGGAAGGGGUUCCAGGCAGUCGGUUCCAGAUUGGAAGAUUGAUACCAAGUGAUGGCUGAUUACUCACUUUCUCCUUGUCCUAAAACAACGACAAGGAGAAGGACAAGGAGAAAGCAUGAUAUGAGAUACUCUUGCUUUCAACCUUCAUGAUAUGAAAUACUUUUGCUUUGGAUGGGUUGUUUG